AAGUCGUAACAAGGUAACCGUAGGUGAACCUGCGGUUGGAUCAUUAUUGAAAUCCAAAACUUUACUUGAAUGUAGGGAAAGGGGGAGAUUAUUUUUUCCCCCCCGACCUACUUCAAAACCCCCAAAACAUUUUCCCCUUAACAAGGGAAAAGACGAUCAUGUUAUAAAGCAAUUUAUAACUUGAUGCGUGAACCUUUUUACAAUAGCUCUUAUGAGUUAUUUACUUGGGUAUUCAUCCCUUUAAAGAGAGGGGAGAGCAAUCUUCUUCCUUUAAAGAAAACCGGGUGAUGCCCUAUAAACCUAGAAAAAAAAACAUUAUUUAAAACUAAUUUUUCUCUUUCACUCUUCUUCUUUUGAAGGAAAGUAAUCGAAAAGAAAAACAACUUUUGACAAUGGAUCUCUAGGCUCUC
rnacentral:misc_RNA from 1 species